rnacentral:tRNA from 1 species
ACUUAUUUAAUACAAAAAAGUAUAAUUGACUUCCAAUCAAGAAAUUUGUGAAAAACAAAAUAGGUA